rnacentral:lncRNA from 1 species
GCGACUCCAGCUCCAGACCGCGAGAGGGCGCCUUGCUUCUCACCAGCGGCCGCCACCAGUCUGCAACGACUGGACCUGCCCCCACCGCGGCGCGAUUUCGCUGGAGUUCGGGUACUGAGCGCCUGUCCCCCCCAGAGCCAGUCAGCGAAGAGCCCCGCGCCACCACUCCAGGAUAGAGGAAAGAAUCACCAUUGCCAAGAAUGGACUGAAGUUUCUGGUGGCAAGCCCAACAAGUAGAUAAGGAUUUUUCAGGAUCUCAUCAUCUGCUCCACUAUUCACGUGUGCUUCAAGACUAGGAUGAAAUGGAUGUCAAUAAGCUGUUUAUUCAGUUCCUGAUGCCAGUCAUAUUUAUCUUCUGUUUCCUUCACUUCCUCUGUACUCUGGUCCUGGAUGCCUUGUGGCUGACUCAUUAAAUUUCUUCUGUUCUUUCCAGGUGCAGGUAGGGGAAGGCGGGAAUGCCACCCCGGGCCUUGUGGGUAGAGGGUCCAUGCCAAAAGAAGCAAACCAAGGAGAACUGGGGCUGGGUUAUUUAAUCCCUGA